rnacentral:rRNA from 1 species
AAUAGUUUUUUAAAUGGAAACUGGGAUGAAUGAAGUGACGAAAUUUAUACUAUCUUAAAUUAAAUUAUUAAAUUUAUUAAUUAAGUAAAAAUACUUAGAUAAAAACAUGGGACGAGAAGACCCUAUAGAAUUUUAUAGAAAGUUAAUGAAAGUUUUAGUAUAAAAAUUUAUUAAGUUUAUAUUUUAUUGGGAGGAUAAUUAAAUUAGAGAAACUUUAAAAAAAUAAAAAAUCAUUGAUGUAUGAAUUAGAGUAAAUUAGAAUGAUAAAAAAAUUUAAAUAGAAUUAAUUACCUUAGGGAUAACAGCGUUAUAUUUUUAGAGAGAUCUUAUUAAUAAAAAUGUUUGC